rnacentral:rRNA from 1 species
UAGGGAAUCUUCCGCAAUGGACGAAAGUCUGACGGAGCGAUGCCGCGUGAGUGAUGAAGGUCUUAGGAUCGUAAAACUCUGUUGUUAGGGAAGAACAAGUAUGAACUAACUAUUCGUACCUUGACGGUACUUAACCAGAAAGCCCCGGCUAACUACGUGCCAGCAGCCGCGGUAAUACGUAGGGGGCAAGCGUUGUCCGGAAUUAUUGGGCGUAAAGGGCAAGCAGGCGGCUUCUUAAGUCUGAUGUGAAAUCUCGUCGCUUAACGACGAGCGGUCAUUGGAAACUGGGAAGCUUGAGGACAGAAGAGGAGAGUGGAAUUCCACGUGUAGCGGUGAAAUGCGUAGAUAUGUGGAGGAACACCAGUGGCGAAGGCGGCUCUCUGGUCUGUCUCUGACGCUG